rnacentral:rRNA from 1 species
UACGUAGGGGGCAAGCGUUGUCCGGAUUUAUUGGGCGUAAAGAGCGUGUAGGCGGCCAGACAGGUCCGUUGUGAAAACUCGAGGCUCAACCUCGAGACGCCGAUGGAAACCGUCUGGCUAGAGUCCGGAAGAGGAGAGUGGAAUUCCUGGUGUAGCGGUGAAAUGCGCAGAUAUCUGGAGGAACACCGGUGGCGAAGGCGGCAUCCUGGACCAACACUGACACUGAGGAGCGAAAGCCAGGGGAGCAAACGGG